rnacentral:snRNA from 1 species
UUGAUUUAUCAGUACAUAAACUAAAAUUGGACAGAGAGAGAAAAGAUUAGGUUGGCCCUUGUGUUAAGAAUGACAUGUAAAUUUGUGAAGUAUUCCAUAUUGAA